rnacentral:lncRNA from 1 species
CCUGAGUGCAGAUGCCAGCACCUAAUAAGUGCUUAGGAAAGACGCACCUGGGACUGUUCUGCUUCCUCCCUAAGAAGUCAGCCUGUGAUGGGUGCAUCCAGGACAAUCCCUUUCUACCAAACUGCAGACUGCAGCCCAGGGAUCUUUCAAGACUUUGCCCCGGAACCAAAGCCAGACCCGGAUCCAGAACCAGUUCUGCGGGCUCCAAGUUCCAUGCUCCAUCCACCUGCAGCCAGUCUCCAGAGUCUGGGUGUGGGACCUCCUGUGCUGCGCUUUGUGGAAGUGUUUUCUGCCUGCCUGGACAGAGGGCCAGAGGGGGCGGCAUUUCCCUCCAGACCUGGGAGGUGUCCCUUUUGGUCAUUAUCAAGCCAUCUGUCAGCACCACUCUACCUGGCUCCGGAGCUUCUCCUUCCCAGAGGGCCCGUCUCUCUGUGAGCGGCCACACCAGGAUCGUCCUGGAGAGGCAGACUGUCACAGGGAAAGCAGCUAUGAGGAUCAGCCACUCCAGGAACUGGCGCGGACACCCCGGUUUUCCCAGACAGAGCAUCGAUGAGCGCGCCAAGGGCUGGGUCCCACAAAGCCUGCCUUCCCCGCAGGGACUCCCAAGGCCGCAGCGUAUCUCCCAUCUCCCAGUGAAGCAAUCUACAUAAUGAGCCGCAUUAAUAUCGAGGCUACCUGAGGCCACUUGUCUCAACCUGGAGCCCAGGUGCCUGUCGCAAUGAGCACAUAAAUGAUUAUUCAGCUCCCUUCCAAUCAGCUGAGCAAAGAUUAAUGGGGUCUCACUCUGGGAUGGCUGCCUAGCUCCCUACUCCCCUGGGGUGGACUCUGUCCCCAGAACAGGUUUUUCAGGAAAACUGACCCCUAUGCACCACAAGGGCACUCUUCUGACAUGGCAGCUGAAAUGCCAAAACAGCCCCAGGGAGUCUGGACCUUGCUCUGGCUCUGGAUAUUCUUUGAAAGGCUGUUUUGUUAAGCAACAUCCUUUGAGCCUUUUUGUAUGGGCAAGACACCCUCCAGGCUACUGCAAUGCUCUAAGGAAGACCCUCUGACCUCCACUCCAACUUCCUACCAUUUCAUAAAAGAAAACACAUCUAACUGAAAAGAUGAAAGUGGUGGGUGGGGAGUAGGGCUAGCCUCUACAAUGACUGAGCACAGAGGGAAAUAGCACCCCUAAAGGUAUCACUCCCCUCAUUUGAGAGGCUUCCCUAGAGGCUCAGAGGUAAAGAAUCCACCUGCCAGUGCAGGAGACUCAGGUUCGAUCCCUGGUCUGGGAAGAUCCCACAUGCCGCAGAGCAAACCGCUGAAGCCCUCCUGUGCCCUAGAGCCUGUGUUCUGCAACAAGGGGAGCCACUGCAGUGAGAAGCCCGCUCACCGCAACUAGAGAACAGACCCUGUUCGCGGCAACUAGAGAAAGCCCAUGUAGCAACAAAGACCCAGCACAGCCAAAAACAAACAAAUAAAAUUAUUUAAAAAAAAAAAAAACCA